rnacentral:rRNA from 1 species
UCCGUAGGUGAACCUGCGGAGGGAUCAUUAGCGAGUUAAUUACAAACUCCAAAACCCCUGUGAACUUACCUAUGUUGCCUUGGCAGGUCGUGGUGUGUAGCGUGAUCGCUAUAAGGGAUCACCGCCUCGCACCACGCUGAAAGACCUGUCAAAGGACCCCUAAACUCUGUCUUACAACUGUAUCUCUGAGUCUAUUAUAUAAACAAGUUAAAACUUUCAACAACGGAUCUCUUGGCUCUGGCAUCGAUGAAGAACGCAGCGAAAUGCGAUAAGUAAUGUGAAUUGCAGAAUUCAGUGAAUCAUCGAAUCUUUGAACGCACAUUGCGCCUGAUAGUAUUCUGUCAGGCAUGCCUGUUCGAGCGUCAUUUCAACCCCCAAGCCCUAAUCUGCUUGACGUUGGGAGUUUACGGAGACGUAAUUCCUCAAAUAUAGUGGCGGAGCUAGGUCGUGCUCUAAGCGUAGUAACCACACUCUCGCUUCUGCAGCCGGCCUAGGUCUUGCCGUAAAACCCCUAUAUUUAUUUUUUUACUGGUUGACCUCGGAUCAGGUAGGAAUACCCGCUGAACUUAAGCAUAUCAAUAAGCGGAGGA